rnacentral:tRNA from 1 species
GUAGCUAUGUCAGAAUUAUAUGAGUUAGUUUUAAGCAUUAAUUAUGGAUUUUCCUAGCUACU